CCCUGCCAUUUGUACACACCGCCCGUCGCUACUACCGAUUGAAUGGCUUAGUGAGACCUCCGGAUUGAUAAUUCAUUGCUGGCAACAGCAUAGAGUAAUUGAAAAGUUGGUCAAACUUGGUCAUUUAGAGGAAGUAAAAGUCGUAACAAG
rnacentral:rRNA from 1 species